rnacentral:rRNA from 1 species
AUUGAACGCUGGCGGCAGGCUUAACACAUGCAAGUCGAGCGAGCGGCGGACGGGUGAGUAAUGUCUGGGAAACUGCCUGAUGGAGGGGGAUAACCACUGGAAACGGUAGCUAAUACCGCAUACCAUCAGAUGUGCCCAGAUGGGAUUAGCUAGUAGGUGGGGAAAUGGCUCACCUAUGCGACGAUCCCUAGCUGGUUUGAGAGGAUGACCAGCCCAACUGGAACGGAGACACGGUCCAGACUCGUACGGGAGGCAGCAGUGGGGAAUAUUGGACAAUUGGCGCAUGCCUGAUGCAGCAAUGCCGCGUGUGUGUAGAAGGCCUUCGGGUUGUAAAGCACUUUCAGCGAGGAGGCGUUACUCGCAGAAGAAGCACCGGCUAACUCCGUGCCAGCAGCCGCGGUAAUAC